UACGUAGGGACCGAGCGUUGUCCGGAAUCAUUGGGCGUAAAGGGCGCGUAGGCGGCUUGCCAAGUCAGGGGUGAAAUCCAGCAGCUUAACUGUUGAAGUGCCUUUGAUACUGGCGAGCUCGAGGGAGGUAGGGGUAUGCGGAACUUCUGGUGGAGCGGUGAAAUGCGUUGAUAUCAGAAGGAACGCCGGUGGCGAAAGCGGCGUACUGGACCUCUUCUGACGCUGAGGCGCGAAAGCUAGGGGAGCAAACGGG
rnacentral:rRNA from 1 species